UCCUAGACCCCCUCCCGUCUCGAUCCCGCCCACGUUUUGAUCCAGAGGCUAUUGCAGCACUGGCUGCUUGGCGACGGAGAGGCUCGGCAUCCUGCACCACGAGAGCAGAUUGGGUUUUCCUAUGCUCGAUUCCAUUGCUGGACCGCUGGAGUGGGUACUGGGUGAGUUGGAGUUCGAUUUCGUUAUGGAUGUGCGGCCCGUGGUAACAAUUAGGGAGAGGUAUUUAAUCUGUCGGCUAGGAUCUGCAUUGGGAUUUUGAGAAUUAAGUGUGACCAAGCGGUGUAUAGUUGUCAAUCAAUUCCGUGAUUUGAAGUUUGCCCUUAAUUAGAAACCUGAAACUCAAGAACGUGGGUUUAUGUAUUUUAUCAGCCUAAAUGAAAUAAAUCAGUUACUUUGCACAACCAAGUCGAUAUUGUGUUUAAUUAGUAAUUAGUGAAAAAAUAUUGCAUAUAUAAUUAAGAAGUUACAUGAGCAGGUUCCAUUGUCAAGAUGAGGGCAUUGGCAUACAAACGCAUUGCUCUGAAUAUUCUGUUCCUUACAAGCUCGUAUGUAUUACAUGCACCAGGAGGGAAGGAACACCGUCUGCGGAGUUACUUAUGACAGUACUUUUUUGGGUCAUUCAAUCAGUGGACUCUGGAAUUUCUGUGUUGCUGGCAUUUACAACUUCAUGCUAUGGGGUGGGGAUACAAGUGUGAAAACUUGGAGAUCAAUAAAGGGACAAGUUGUUUAGCAUUUAUCUACCCUCUCGGCAGUGAUUGCAUAACAUGGCCGGCAGAUCAUUGGUGUCUGCGCCAUCUGCUGGUGGAUGGCACAAGAGGUGUUCAAGCGAGUGAAUGACAUGUACGCCGUGGCGGCACAACCCUGUUUCGGGGAGAAAAGGACUGAGGCCCUAUAGGUAACAACACAUCAUUCAGCCACGCGAAACAAACUUGUUAAGUACCUCAUUGUUAUACUGCACACACUUCUCGUAAUACUUAGCCAAAACUAUAAAUAGCUGCGGGAUAAAUUGUUCUUGUACAAACAAGGGGGUGGCUUUUCGAUACACUUUGGAGAAGACCCUGCUGUUAAAGAAGAUUAUGAUGGUACAGAGCACUCCGGAAACUAGAUACCAGACACCAACAUGAUUUGAUUGUCCAGUAUAUUUGAUGCUGCAAAAUCUGGAAGCUGCAAAUGUAAUGCUGAACAUCUCAUUUCAAAGUAUUAUGUAAUGAUGUUUUUUUCUCUUUUAACUUUUUCUUUAUAUCUUAAUAAAUGUCGCGGUUAUUAAUUUAACUUUGGGAUAAGAAUACGAUUUUCUGUCUCAUUUGGUACAUAGAAGCUUGAGCCUUUUCCCUUUUGUGUUCUCAUCCAUUAUUAUCUUGCAUAAAUAUAUGAUCGUUGUUUUUCUCUUGCUAAGCUAUUUUGUACAAAUUCAUGCU